rnacentral:rRNA from 1 species
GAACGCUGGCGGCGUGCCUAAUACAUGCAAGUCGAGCGGGAGAAUCAUCCUUCGGGAUGAGGAUCCAGCGGCGAACGGGUGAGUAACACGUGGGCAACCUGCCCGCAAGACCGGGAUAACUCCGGGAAACCGGGGCUAAUACCGGAUAGGCCUUUUCCCCGCAUGGGGAAAAGGGGAAAGGCGGCUUCGGCUGUCACUUGCGGAUGGGCCCGCGGCGCAUUAGCUGGUUGGUGAGGUAACGGCUCACCAAGGCGACGAUGCGUAGCCGACCUGAGAGGGUGAUCGGCCACACUGGGACUGAGACACGGCCCAGACUCCUACGGGAGGCAGCAGUAGGGAAUUUUCCGCAAUGGGCGAAAGCCUGACGGAGCAACGCCGCGUGAGUGAGGACGGCCUUCGGGUUGUAAAACUCUGUUCUUGAGGAAGAAUUCCUUCCAGGCGAACAGCCUGGAAGGUUGACGGUACUCAAGGAGAAAGCCCCGGCUAACUACGUGCCAGCAGCCGCGGUAAUACGUAGGGGGCGAGCGUUAUCCGGAAUUAUUGGGCGUAAAGCGCGCGCAGGCGGCUGAUUAAGUCAGGUGUGAAAGGCUGCGGCUCAACCGCAGAGCGGCACCUGAAACUGGUCAGCUUGAGUGCAGGAGAGGGGAGCGGAAUUCCCGGUGUAGCGGUGGAAUGCGUAGAGAUCGGGAGGAACACCAGUGGCGAAGGCGGCUCU